rnacentral:rRNA from 1 species
AGGCGACGAUCCCUAGCUGGUCUGAGAGGAUGACCAGCCACACUGGAACUGAGACACGGUCCAGACUCCUACGGGAGGCAGCAGUGGGGAAUAUUGCACAAUGGGCGCAAGCCUGAUGCAGCCAUGCCGCGUGUGUGAAGAAGGCCUUCGGGUUGUAAAGCACUUUCAGCGAGGAGGAAGGUGGUGAGCUUAAUACGCUCAUCAAUUGACGUUACUCGCAGAAGAAGCACCGGCUAACUCCGUGCCAGCAGCCGCGGUAAUACGGAGGGUGCAAGCGUUAAUCGGAAUUACUGGGCGUAAAGCGCACGCAGGCGGUUUGUUAAGUCAGAUGUGAAAUCCCCGGGCUCAACCUGGGAACUGCAUUUGAAACUGGCAAGCUAGAGUCUCGUAGAGGGGGGUAGAAUUCCAGGUGUAGCGGUGAAAUGCGUAGAGAUCUGGAGGAAUACCGGUGGCGAAGGCGGCCCCCUGGACGAAGACUGACGCUCAGGUGCGAAAGCGUGGGGAGCAAACAGGAUUAG